GGACGGCCCCCAUGCUCUGACACACACAUGCAGACGCGCACCUCCGCGAUGUGUCACUACCCAUUCCACCUGCCUCUUCUCGUCAUUCUCCGCUCACCGUUCCAUCUACCUACACUUGCUCUUUCCCACCCUCUAUCCCUCAGUUUGUCUUUAUUAUUAUUAUUAUUUUUUUUUGUUCUCUCUUAGUCUUGCUCUCCACCCCCCCACUGUUCUCAACUCCCCCCCACACUGUGUGUCACCACUGCCGGGAAGGAAGAAAAAUGCUCCGGCACAUGAGAGCGAAAGGAGAAAACGGUGAAAAGAGUCAAAGGGAGAAGACAGUGAAGACUGGAGUGUGCUCGGAGCACAGCGAUGCCUCCAUCCGCUAUAAGCCACAAUCUUCUUUGAUGGAAUAUCCCGGACAGCGGAGGGCAGAAGGAGGGAGAAGAAAAAGAAGGAGAAGAAGACGAUAGAAGUAUAACGGGACUGAGAAGACGGCCAGCGCUCGCCUCAGGAGGCUCCAUCCAGCUCAUUGUCCUCUCAAACGCGCACACACCUUGCCGCUGAGAGUGUUGCGUGCACGUGCGUGCAUGAGGACGGGGGGGUGUGUGCGGCCGGUCAUUUCUACGCAGCAGCGCAGCCCAGCGCCAGCUUCCACUCUGAGGUUCACGUAGAUGCGGUGCAUCAGAUAGGACAUGCCGUUCACCUGCGCCUGCUUCUGUGGCCUUAAUGGCUUCUGCUGCAGACGAAGGAAGAAGAAAAGUGAUCAAGUGGAGGACGAGGAGUGUGAAGAGGUAGAGCAAUGGAGGGAUCAGGAGACACAGGUGUGACAGCAUUGCUGUCAGCCCAGCUGUCUUCACCUUUUCUGUGGGAUUUAUCCCUUAUGGACUGAAAUGUGUGGCCUGGGUUAUCACAGCUCAGUACAGACUCCACUGUCUGAUAUGCUGCCUGGAGACAUUAUAACAGAGAUGGUAAAGGGGGUUCAACGAGCACAGGCUUUUAUUUAAAGUUAAAAAAAAAGAAAAGAAAAGGUGCUUUUGAAUCAGGUACUGUAUUUUUCCCAGAGUAUCGGUGACUAACACUCUUCUUCUUUUGUACUUUUUAACCUGGCUAAACUCAACAAGCACAAGGCUGUCUUGAGCCACGCUCUUAAAGUUGAAAAUAAAAGCCUGCGAACUCCUGGCUCAUGCCCAUUACACAUCCCUGCAGCACUCUCAUUUCUCCCUUGGCAGCUGACUGAGAACUUUGCUUUUGCUGAUGUGAUUCCAAAAAAAGAGGAAAAAAAAAUCGUAUCUGUUUGAUUAAUUUCGUGCCAUAGCUGGCGUUCCGUACAAGGUGUGAAGAGGCGAUGGACUCUAGAAAUCCAUUAUUUCUCUGAGUCGCACUCCUCGCCGCUCCUCCGCGGGGGCUGAAUUAGAACCAUUGCUCGACGGAGCUCUGCACCUCCUCACCUACCUGCUUAUGUCAGAUCAACUUAGUGAAAACUUCAGCCGAGUGAGAAAGUGUGCAGUAAUUUGUAGAGUCACCCAUGGAGGGCUGGAGCCCAUCUCGGCUUUUCACGCUGCGCUGGGCUCCAUCUAAAGCCAAGCAGCUGUCCAAUCAGCAGCUUAGCUGGAGUGUGAAGAUAGGAGUCAGGGGUCAGAGUGAGCAGCGGAGUUUGUGAGAAGUCCUUCCGCUUACGGCGUAGCAUCUCUGUCUCAUUAACAUGCAGACGAGUAAUUACAAACACACGCACACACGGAUGCAGACCCAUCAAUUAAUGUCCCCCAUUGGGAGAGGAGUGUCUGUCCGUAAAUGCCAUUGCGGUGCUCUUCCAGCUGUCACCUGUUUGAGUGUAGGACUCUGCGAGUGUUGUGUGUGUGUGUCUGUGCUUCUUCUUGGCUGCAACAAUAGCUUUUCAAAGCUGAAACAAGUGGUUAAGAUAUCUGCUCAGCCACUACAGUACAGCCUUUCCAGAAUGCACAUGGAGACACAAAGACAAAAGAGACACACACACACACACAGGUCUCAUUAGCAUGUGUGAUUAUGCAUGGCACGUCCAGUCAGGCAGUGGAGAUGUAAUUAACCUUUUCCAGCAGGAAACAGAUGCCUGGAUGUCACACACAAACACACAUGCGAUGGCACACAUACACACACACUGACACACACACACGUCUGCUGUCAGGGAAACAAAGCCAACGUCAUGGUGUCACGGAAACAAAGCCCCAAAAGCGCCGCCUGGCACUCUGUGAUAAUCCCCUCACGCAUAUUUACAUUCAGGGCUUAGAAUAUGCCUCGGUGCCGCCGUCUCCACCCCCUGCUGCACGCCGUUUCGCCCCCCUCCCCAACUUCUUCGCUGCCAUCCUCUCUCUCCUCUCCAAUCUACCUUUGGGCCUUCCACCUCAUUCGCCCGAAAUCCUCCUGCUAUCUCUCCCUCUGCUCCAUCUUUCACUCGUCGCGUCCCGAAACUCUCUCCUUGCUCGGAUUCAUCUGUUUAUUAUCGGUGGAUAGUACAUGGCCUUGCAUGGCAGCUCCCAUAGAUUAGCCCCCACCCCUCUCUCUUUCUCUGUCUGCGAAUAUCAGGGAUUCCUUCAGGCGGGCAAAAAGCUGCUUUACGACAGAUUAAUGGACGGCCCUGAUUGUGUCUGUUGGUGUGUGUCUACGCCUGCAUGGAAUAGAUUGUCUGUUUACUCAUUCUCCUGCUACAAGCGGCGAAAUGAGACAAAGCUAAAGCCAUUUCACAGUGUAGAGCACCUAUUAUGAUUCACUGUGUUACGACGCAGCCCUAAUGAGAAAGAGAGAGAAUGAGAGGAGGGACGAUAGCGGAGGAAGAGAGAGAAAGACGAUAAUGAGAGCACGAGCUGGAUGUGUGUGUGGGGGGGGGCUAAUGCUAGACAGAGCAGUCAUGCUAAUUGGCUACAGUGGAUAACUUUCUGUGGUGGGGGAUGACAGUGUGUGUGCGUGUGGGGGGGAGGCAGCGAAAAGAACAGCCUGAUCUGUCGGCGUUGCACUCGUUUAACGCUCCCUCCAUUUCACCUCUUUAAUGAGAGGAAUAUUCGCUCCAGUAAUGGAGAAAGACUUUAAAUUGGUAACGAUUUGUUGCUCACACACACAGGCAUGCACAGAGGUGGUACGAUGUGGUGGUGGGGCAAGUGAGGAUGGGGUGGGGGUGGGGCUGGAGGGUGAAUUGGCACUGGCAAGGGUGUGUGUGUGUGUGUGCGCGCUCAUGUUCUCCCUCAAGCACCACAACCCCUUUAUGGAUCAUAGCAAUUUUCGGGGAUUGUAACUCAAGGACAAACAGCUAAAAAUAGAGGGGAGGUGCACGACUCCUGCGAGAGCGGCGAGGGGGAGGGUGGGGUGUGGGAGGAGGUGAGCGCGCGGGGACGGCGAAAGCGAGUCCUGUCGCAUUAGAUUUGGGUCAGAAACGAGGGAAGAGCCGGCGAAGCGGAGAGUGUUACAGACGGCUGGAAGAUUCAUCACUUGCUGCUCCCUGUACGUCUCACGCGUCUCCUUCAACACCUUGCUGCCCCUCCUCUCUGCUCCCACACAUCAUGCGCACACCUGCAGGAGAUGGAGAGGGGAGGGUGCCGGGAACAAGGACGCCCAGAGAAAGGGUGAGAAAUUGGUGAGAAAAGACGGUAAACCACCGGAAAGACAAAGACGUAAUAUCAGGGCAGAGAAAGCAAAUUUGAAAUGUGGCAAAAAAAGAGAGAGUGAACUUCAGUUAGGUUAGAUAAUUUAAUAUUAAUAUAUGCCAUCCGAUUCAAAGGCCCUUUGCUGCAUAAUGAGGUCAUACAUAAAUUCAAAUGGUGGAUGAUACUAGUAGGGAAUGAACUCUAAUGAAAGGGACUUACUUCUGAAUUGCAUCAGAAGCUCUGUUCCCCCAGCUUAAAGGAGAAGCUUCACACAGUAGGCUUAUUUGCUCCUGUGUCAAAAUGGCUAAUCUUCUGUCUGCAUGUUUAAUUGUUAGCAAAAGGAAAAGGGCAGACUGAAGUCUUUACAGGAAAGUGUCAUUUCCAAAAUGUCGGACUUCUGCUUUAUUCUGAAGGGGAGAGAGUUAGUCUCUACCUAACCCCGUGUAACCCAACGAUAGUUCCCUGUGAAUUUAAAAUGAGACUUCUGAACCACAUUAUUUAAGUUCCAUUUGAAAACAGGAAUCACCAAAAAUCGACCACUCCAAAGAUAUUUUCAUUGUCGGGUAUUUGGAUACAACCCAAGAUUUGUCUUAGUUGGUUUGCGACUACAUACAAAUCAUGAGUAGUUCCAGUGUCACGUAUAUAUUGUAUAUAUAAAUUACAGAUAUAGUCCAAACACCUGCCUCCAAACACGCUUAAUAUGUGUCCGCAUUUCCAGCAGGUUAAGGAAAUGACAUGAUGUUGCAGAUCAGUGUUACAGGGGUUUGUGGUUUGGUUAGCUGUACAGCAUGAUUAAUAUAGCAGGGUUAGCAAACUCGACCACAGACUGUAUAUAAAAGAUGGAUAUCACCAAUUUGACUCUGUAUUUGAAACCUCAGCACUAAAUUAUUCAUAGAGACCAAAACAUGUUUUUCACUAUCCCAGGCUGUACUAAUGUACUAAUGUCAUGGCAAGAGUUGACCAUCUAAAUAUGUCCAUAGUGACUGACUCACUUUUAGAGCCACCCUCAAGUGGCCAAUAUAGGAACUGCACCACUGUUGUGCUUGACUUUUUAGAAAAGGGUAGAAACUCAACUUCUUAUUCUCAUUCAGAGAAGUCAUGAUCUUCACAAGCUGAUAGAUCAAAUUUAUUUGUAAGUGAUGCAUAAAUCAAAGAGGACCUUUUUAGACCCCAGAAAAAUGACAGUAUUGCUGGCACUAACAUGAAGUUGUGUGGUAUUCAGGGAAAACCAGUGAAGCUAGCUCGCAUGGUUGCACCACAGUUGCAAGCUGUUCAGUCAGAUGGGUGUUCUAGUAGCCUGGUAUUGUAGAUGAAUGCAUUAUACCUGCAAUAUGCCACAAUUUGAUUCUGGCCACCAGCCUAUGUGUCACUGUCAAAUAAAAGGCAAAAUUCCAAAAGAAUAAUCUCAAUAAAAAAUAGGUAAUAAGUGUGCACAUACACUUAGGUGGCAGAUACACAAUCUCUCUGUGCAAACAUCCUCACAUGCAGAUAGACACACACAUCACACACACACAUACACCCUACCAUUCAUCACACUGUUGUCCCACCAUUGCUUCUGCUUCUCUCACCCACAUCUGUUGUGUUGUUCCUAAUGAAGAGAAAAGUGAUGGUCCCACUAAGGCUAAUUAGGAGAAAUGAGAUGCGCAGUGAUGAUAGACUGGUGAUAGUCAAGAGGGAAGUGCUAACGCCGGUCGCUUAGAGCUCCCACCGGCCCUGGAGUAUCAGAGGAGCGGAGCGGGAAAAAAUGCCGAGAGAGGGGAUAAAAACAAGCAGUGGAAGGAGAAGGAGGGAGAGAUAUAUAGCGUAAUUGAGACCGUAAUGGGUUUUGUCAGGAGCACCUGUCAGGGUCAAGUUAAAAUGGCUUCAGUUAGAGAGGAAGAGAGGGAUGAGAGGAUGGGAGAGCGGAGAAGGGGGCCAAUUGGAGUCAGGAUCCUGGUGAGGAGAGGCCCUCGUCCAUGCCAACCUCACCUGAUUACCAAUUUGUGCCAGUCUUCAGACAUCAAACACAAUAUGAGCCACAGUGAGACACACAAACACCUCUGAUUGCAGAGUGGUAACCAGCUAAAAGCACCCAUGCACACUCAAUCACACACACGCGCGCGAACUCACACUGACAGCCCACCUACGCCUGUUGAUUGGGCACAUCUAGCCUCUUAACAAGGUGUCCACGGUGCAGACCCAGGCGUGUGAUUGAAAGAUAAAGCUGUCGCCAUUAAAUAUCUAAUUCUCCCCCACGUCUCCAUGAAAAUAAGGCGCGGUGCUGAUUAGAUUGCAGCCUGCUGUGCCAACCUCAGGUCUGCGCCUUGGUCAUUACCAGCCCCCCCCCCCCCCUACCCAACUCCACCAGCCCCAACCAGUCCUUGAGUUGCCAACCACACAUGUGCUCCUCGUGAUAGAAGAGCAAUUCUGACACCCUCGAGAGCUGAGGUCGAUGCCUGAGGAGUUAUGAAAUUAAGUUGAGUAAAAAUGUAUUUAUAAAUCACUACUAAAGCUGCACCUGGCAAUUUAGCAUGCUGCCAGACCCAAAUGGCUGCACUGCAUAACUGAAAAUGUAAGACUUUACAGAAAAAUUCUGUUAAGGUGGCGCCUGACUCGUGGGCCAGGGUAGUGGAGGUGCUGUAGAGGACGAGAUCCAUCAUCCUGGGGAUAAAGUCCCCGCUGCUGCUGUGUAUGGAUUUGCUUUUUUCAUUUUUUUUCCAACAUUUUUUGUACUAGCAAACAUUUUGACGCUGCAUGUCACAUUUGAAAUGAAAGGUGGAGUCUUUGCUUGGUGCCUCAGGUAGGGAUAUCAGCUCUCAGUGACAUCAUACAGAGCCAAGAGUAGAAAAAACGGUCUCAAACCUAGAAGUGUGAAUCCUGACCUUUGGCUGUCUGCAUUUAAAACGUCUAAGAACCGAAAAUAAGUGAAAACGUAGUCUUCUGUAAGAGUCUGAGGUGACAUCCUGACAUUAUUAGAUAGAAUGUAACCUUCCACCAGGUUCCUGUAACUCCUGAGUGGCUUAUUAAUAGACGUGCUGCACUGUUUUUAAAAUGUGGUAUUUGCAAAUGUACUUGUUUUUUUCAAAUCCUCAAAUUAGAAAUUCAUUCAUUUCCCAGCAGUGUUAUAGUUUGUUCACAGUUCCUGAAAAUUUUCCAUAAAUGUUCAGUGAUGGUUUGGAGAAAAUGUUGUGUUGGGUAAAUUAACACCACAAAGAAUCAUUCAAAAAUCACAACAAUGAAAAUUGUUUUUUUUUAAAUCAUGAAAACAGAAAUAUGGCUUUCACCACACAGAGAUGUUAACAUUUGUGAAUACUAUUUACAGAUAAUAGAUGUGAAUUUGAGCUAAAGGGUAAUUGACAAAAGGCAGAGUAAACAAAAGAAGCAGAAAAUGUUUUUCCAAUCAUGCAACUAAAGAGAAAUAACAGAUAAAAGUCCCUAAAGAGCCCCAGUAAAUAUAGCUGAGUUCAGACAUUGAGAAAUGUGAUAAGUAGUUACGAAAAAGAGUAGAUAUAUAAUUUAAGAAAUGUGGGGUGGGUAAAAUGGAAGGGCUUUGACUCCUGACAUUAGAGUUUCUGGCUACGGCCCUGGUGCUCAUCUACACAAACCCCAUAAUUAUCCCUUUGUGCUGCGUAAUUUGCCUUAAACACAAACCAAACUCCUUCUACCAACAGCCUGAUUUUUUUGUACUAACUUUUUUAGUUUGUUGAUUGUAAGCUGGAGUAAAAUCCUCAAGGUCCGCUUGCUAUGUUUUGCAAAUACAAAUACAACAUCAAAGCGUCAGGAAAAUGAACUCUUUGGACUCUUCUCCCUUGUGUAUCUCCUCAGCCUUCACCGCUAACUGGAGAAAUGAAAAAAUAUCUUCAAGUGGAGGCUUUCGGUGUAUUUACUCUUCCUCACAAAUUAGCGAGAUACUCAGCCGUUUCAGUUGCCUUAUUUUUCGACCGGGUGGGGGUGAGGGUGGCGGGAAGCUCUGUUUCUUGGAACAUUUUCUGCUAACGCUCGAGAUGUGAGAUUAUUUCGUAUACUUCACUGCACCAGGAGCUUCAUUGGGGAACUCACUUUGCAGAAUAUAACCUGGUUCACUGGCACAAUUUAGGCUUCGGAGCAGUUUAGCUUAAUGGUCUUUAAGUGUCAGGAUUUAGUAAGGGUAAUGAGAAAUUUUCUUUAAAGAGCAGCCUCAGCAGCAGCCUUGCCAACAAAAUAUCAAAUUGAUGUCUAUUUGAGAUGCUGGAAAUACCCCGGGGCCUUCAGUUUUAGUGGGCUGAAGGUUAAAGGAGAUGCACAGCGAGAUGGUCGCUUUUUCCCACUGUCACCUUUAACGGAAUCUUCCAUAAGUCUCCACAACUGAUUCAGUUGCUUCAGGCUGUCUGCUCUCUUACACGCGCCAUUUUCCACACAUCCCCUGUUUUAUACUUUUGUGUUAUUGAGCUGUGUUUUCAAGCGUACAGAGGAAAACUUUUCUAAUUGGCAGGCGGAGGAGGUGGGGGGGCUGUAAAUAAGGUCAGGCAUCCCACAUAUCUGAUGCCAAAUCACCAUCAUCAAUGGGAGAUAAAUCAAUCCCUCGCUGCUUUUUCCUCUUCAUCCUGCCCCGCCUCCCAUUCUCUCUCAAACUCCCUCUCUCCUUCGCGCACAUAAGCGCUCCCACCGAGGCCGAUCGAUACCGGAGCGGGUAUUGAGCAGUGGCUGUGGUCCAAAUGAGAGUUUGAUUUCUCGUGGGGGGUGUUAGCCCCUGUAACCAUGGUGUUGUGUCCCCAUCGGGGACCUCUUCGCCAAACGCUCGUUGAUGAAGUGCGUGUGAGAGCAGCGAGCGUGCGCUUUAAACACCUUUUGAUUUAGCUGCGCUCGAGAACAAUACUUUUCAUUAGCGGCUGAUAGCAUUCAUUAAGAGCAAUUCAGCAUGGCCGCUAAUGAGCUGAUCUGCUCUUGAACACUUCAUCCUCCUUGAAAAACAAUCAAGCGCGAGAGAAACUUGCCCUGACUGGAAAACCAGAGUUAAUCACAGCUCCAAAUCAGUGACGAAUAGCCAGUUGAUUCUUUGCUUGGGAAGCUCUAGCUUUGAGCUCCUGACUGCAAAUCCACCCGUUGGAGCCUAUUCAUUUACUAAUCUGGCGAUACAGUUUGUCUAAACUGACACAAAGCCUGUGCCUUCAGUCCAGUAUGCGGGCAGAGCAAUCGCAGAAUCCGUCCGUCAGCCGCUUCUUUGCCCGCGGGAGCCUCGGUUCUCUUUGACAGGAAUUCGUUUGUAGCACCUUGCAAAUUCUUUCACCCCCGUCAGAUUUCUUUGCCCGCUGUCACCUAACAACACACGGAACAGCCUGUUUGUCUGAGGGCGAGCAAUGCUGAUUCUUUCUUAUAUUAUUCAUAUCCCAGUGCCUUUGCAUCGGGGAAACAAGCAAGGCAGAGACGAGGAGAGAAAAGAUGGAGAAGGGACCUUUGACAGAGCAGCUCUGAUGAAGAGCGCGACAUAGUGAGAUACAUAAACAUGAGGUCAGAGAAUGCUGCGGCAAGAGACGGAGGAGGGAGGAAAAAAGCCGAGAGAACGAACCAGUACAAGGGAAAAGCAGCUGAGAGGCAGUGCACAGCUUCAGAAAGGUUGUCCGUCAUUGAUGAGCUCUCACCCUGCUCAGGAAAUCCACCAAUCAAUGCUUUGGCACAACACACACAUUAACCUGUGAUGAAGGGUGUGUGUGUGUGUUCAUGAUGGGGGAGAGAGUGUGCUACGGGUUUGAAAUGCAGAACACGUCAAGAGUCCUAGGGAGCUCCUUUUGCAGCAAAGCCUCAUUAAAGAGACACUUGCCUUAAAGCAAGGAUAUACUGCCAGACCACACACACACACACACACACACGCAGGCAGACUCACUCAGGCUAACAGAAAGGGACACACACGCAGGAGCAGCUCCGGACAAAAUCGAACCCGAGUGCAGAGAUAAAUGUAGACGGGUAAAUGCGGCGCUCUAAUCCCUUUCCCCAUUUCCUCUCCUUGUUCUCCAUUUGAAUAAAGUUUCAUUUAACACCCCCCACCCCCACCCACCCAACAAUCUCACACUAAUAUUAUAUUCAUGUAUAUUUGAUUGUGUCAACUCUGUGGAGAUUGGCUACGCUGUAUCUUGUGUGCCUUUUUAAAAAUGCAUCGAUGAAUAAAUAAUGUCUGUAUCCGCUGAUUGAAAAAGCCAUAUUGCCAGGAAGCCAUGAUGAAAUGAUAAUGUAAUAUCUGUCCCUGUGCCGAAUAAAGUCAAGCCAUCCCUCCACCCCCUCUUUUUUUUCUUAAUUCUCUCAGUAAAUGAAACCUGAAGCUCUGCACCUUACACUGCCUGAUGACAUUCUGCUGUAUGGUUUGCACUGCUGCACUAAGUGUGUUUUAAUAAAGACGAAGCUUCUUUCUA